rnacentral:rRNA from 1 species
AAUAGAUACCCGGGUAGUCCAUGCCGUAAACGUUGGGCGCUAGAUGUGGGGACCAUUCCACGGUUUCCGUGUCGCAGCUAACGCAUUAAGCGCCCCGCCUGGGGAGUACGGCCGCAAGGCUAAAACUCAAAGGAAUUGACGGGGGCCCGCACAAGCGGCGGAACAUGCGGAUUAAUUCGAUGCAACGCGAAGAACCUUACCAAGGCUUGACAUAUACGAGAACGCUCUAGAAAUAGAGAACUCUUUGGACACUCGUAUACAGGUGGUGCAUGGUUGUCGUCAGCUCGUGUCGUGAGAUGUUGGGUUAAGUCCCGCAACGAGCGCAACCCUCGUUCUAUGUUGCCAGCGGUUCGGCCGGGAACUCAUAGGAGACUGCCGGGGUCAACUCGGAGGAAGGUGGGGAUGACGUCAAAUCAUCAUGCCCCUUAUGUCUUGGGCUUCACGCAUGCUACAAUGGCCGGUACAAAGGGCUGCAAUACCGUAAGGUGGAGCGAAUCCCAAAAAGCCGGUCUCAGUUCGGAUUGAGGUCUGCAACUCGACCU